rnacentral:lncRNA from 15 species
AUGAAAUACAGUGCAUGGAGCUACAUAUAUAACUGCUACAAAACCUCCUGCAAAUGCUGCAAUAAUCUGAAUUUUGUUAUUACAGGAAUUACUACAUCAACUGCUGCUCCUGCUACAACUGCUGCAGCAACUGCUACAGCAACUGCUGCGCCAACUGCUACACCAACUGCUACAACUGCUGCUCCUGCUACAACUGCUGCAGCAACUGCUACAGCAACUGCUGCGCCAACUGCUACAGCAACUGCUACAACUGCUGCGCCAACUGCUACAACUGCUGCAGCAACUGCUACAACUGCUGCACCAACUGCUGCGCCAACUGCUACAGCAACUGCUACAACUGCUGCACCAACUGCUACAACUGCUGCUACAACAGCUGCACCAACUGCUACAACAACUGCUUCCACUGCUGCACCAACUACUACAACCACCGCUUCUUUAACAGAUCCUCCUACAUCCAGUGAGGGAACCCUUAACCUUCAGUUCAGCCUUGACCGAACAUUUACACCGGCCCUCUCAGACUCAUCCUCUACCGAGUUUCAAACUUUAGCUGCAUUAGUGGUCACAGAGAUAAACAAAGCGGGUGCAAGGCUGUAUGGAUCAGAUUUCCUUCGCUCCAUCAUAAACUCAUUCACGAGUGGAUCAGUGGUUGUCCAGUCAACCCUUGUGUACAAGGAUAAAAACUCAGUUCCUUCAGCAAGCAGUGCAACUUCAGGAUUCAGCAGCCAACUUGCCAACUCUACCUCCUUGAACGUUAUUUCAGGCAGCGUUACUGCACAGUCCACAUCAAGCAGCUCUCCAAUACACACAACGGGCUCAUUAGCAGUCUUUUCACUGACACUGCUGACUGUGGCACAGAUGCUGAUACACUUAUAGACACCCAACACAACGACUUGGCCAGUAACUUUUACUAUGCUAUCUAAGUGUGGAAAGAGGAAGGUACCAGCAAAUGAAAAACACUGUGCAUUAUGAAAUUUACCUGUACAAUGUCAUGUGGUAAAAAGAUAUGUACUGUGUGUCAAAAAUUUAGACAAUUUCUCAGUAUUUUUAACUUGUAAUGUUACAAUCACUUGUGUUUUUUGAUUUAAUUUUAUUUAAAGAACGAAUCAUUAAGAUUAUAAUAUAGUGUUCUGUACUUUUGGGGCAUUUUUUUUCCAUUCAAUGUAUUUCUUUUUUAAAUUCUUUUUUAUAUGCCAUUUUUCGUGUGGCAUCAUUAACAUUUUAAAAAUGCAAAUACAUACAUGAAAGGAUAAUUUACUAAAUAUUUAUUUAAAAUUAAAAGCUUUGUACGAUUCAGCAGGACAGAAUGUACAUCAAUGCCAUUGUUCAGUGCGAAUGAAGGAAGAAUUGUGUAGUUAAAGUAGCAUAGUGCCAAAAGCUUAGGAUAUGGAGGUAACAUGAUCUUGAUGCUGGAGACCAAUGAUUCGUUAUACGUCUGAGACCAACCAUUAAUGUUGGAGUUUUUUUUUUUUUCAUAUAUUCAACCAUGAAGACGAUCUCUCCCUAAACAUAAUCAUGUGGUUUCAGGUGCCUUACCUAAACAACACCACAGUUGCCAUGUUAGAAUACUGUAGGAGAAAAUAUUGAAUCGUCCAGUUUUCAGUGAAUAGUGUGGCAAGUGGACCUCUGAAUGCUAGUCAAAAAGUGUCCAGCUAUCAUAAAAUGUUUUUAAUAGAAUAUCGAUUGUACCUGUAUGUUUUUGAGAAGGGGAAUAAUGAAAAUUUGAAUCGUUGUUAUUCAACUAAGUAUUAAAUGUUACCUUUAAAAUGACUCUUGUUUUUUCAAAUUAUUGUUUUUGUCUCUCUAUUUUAAAUAGAUUUUUUUAAAAACAUAUUUUCCCCUUUUAUAUUAAUAGGUCAAGGAUAUGGUAUCAGUUAUAUGGGUACUGAGUAGAACUGAACCAUUUCAAACAUUCUCUGUAUUUGACAGCAAGGUUCAUGAUCAUUGCCAAUAUUUAAAGUUGAUUUCAGGGGAAUGUAAGGGAACACUUAAUAAUGCAGGAAUUAAAGUACCAGGAGAAAAACCUGGCCUUUUGUCUACCAAGAACAUUGUAAAGAAGCACAUUCUGCUUUUUGAUGUGAAAUUCUAUCUUACCUUGAACAUCAAAAAAUGUAAAUUGAUAUCCACAUACAUACCACCUUAAAUCUUACACAACAAAUGAACCUAUAAUUAUAAAACUGUUGACUGACUGGCCUGUGACUGCAUUAUCAGGUGUGUAAUCUUUGUAAUGGUGACCACUUCCUGUGUAUGAGAUACAGAGAACAAGAACAAGUUUAAUACAUACUGACAUGUCAAAACAUGCAAGCUCUUAGAGACAGGGUUCAAAAUUAUAAUUUUUACAUGAUUUAUUUUAUCCUCUGGUUAACAUUUUAUUCCAAUGUGUUUCUUGUUCUCAACGGUUGUACUGUUACCUAACAUUCAAAACAAACAUCAAUUCAUGAGAGUAGGUCACCCAAAUAAUUUGGCAGUAAAGAUGAUUUGGAUUCCAAUCAUCUGGCCAAGAGAGCUAAAGUAUGAAAAAACAGCUAAGCCCCUUUUCACAUUUUGCCCUCUGUUACUUGGGCCUUGUCUAGUGAAGUAGCAAACGCACACACUCCUCUUAAAGGGGUGAGCUUACAAAAGGCUUCACUUGGAAAUAUGCACCGGGGUGCCCAGGUGGUCAUAAUGUUAUGGCUGAUCUGUGUAUAGUGGAAUUUUCACAUGCAGCUCAACAAAGUUUAGCAGUUAUAGACAUUUGCAUGAUAUCUUGUUGUUAGUACAAACCUAAUAUGUAUAUUUAAAACUUAAUAUCUGUGCCAACAUCAGGCAGGAACAAGAGGCUACACUGAUCUUCUUGCACAUGGUAUGUUCAUAUAGUAUUGUAGCGACCCUGCAGUAAUGUUCUGUUAUAAUGUCAAAUGUUCUCUGAGUUAAUGACAUGUUUGGGAUUGAAUGAGUAGGUAGGGCGGCGGGGUGCGAGUGUGACGGGGAUGAGGGCUGUGCAAGUGCGCGUGUGUGUGUGUGUGUGUGUGUGUGUGUGAGUGAGCUUGAAGAGAACACUAAGGGCACAGUUGGAGUUACGGCCAAAUGUAUUUGUUUUGGUUGUUUUGGUUGUUUUGGUUGUUUUGGCGUGGUUACGGCCAACAGUAACCUGUACUGUUACAGCAAUAAAUGGUGGUUUGCUGAAUAACACUUUCAACAUGUCCUUGCGGACACUACAGUAACUUUCAGUGUUAGAAAUUGUGUAAAUUAGAGUCACACAUGGGAGUGUGGUUUUAUUUAACAAAAGACUUCUUAAUGUGUUUAGUUUGUGCAAACACAAUACUGCAUAAAUUAAAUAUCAGCAAUGAAUUUAUAAUCCAGUAAAUGCUAUUGACAGGGACUUGCCAUACAUGCAAUAGCAAUGACACACCAGGAGAGGGCUGCAUUGCCUCAAGGAUCAUCCAAACUAGAGUGUGUACAGCUUCCAUCUCUAAAAUGUUUACAGUAUUGUGUGCUGUGAUAGUCAAGGUCACACAGUCCUAACAUCACCCCUAGCCAUAGCCAUGACUUGAUUUUGAUUUUUAAAAAAUAGCCAGAGAGAACAAUUUGAAAUGGAAAAAAAGGAUUCAAGAAAAAGAACAAUGGAGAGAACGGCAAAAUAAUUUAUCUGAAUUUGUUUGGUUAAGAGGAACCAUGUCUGUGUGGGGUUUUUACACACACAUACAAAUCUGAAAUAAAAUCUAAAAUGAUUGUUUUGCAAAGGCAUUUUAUAUAUUCUCUUAUAUUUCUUAUAGACAAAAAAACACAGACUCUAAAUGACCAUAAAAAUUAGGAGUUCAUUGAUGAAUAUUACGGGACAUAUGUGCAUUAAGUAUGUAAAACAUAAAAGGCUUUUUCCUUUAAUUAACUGUUUUUUAAAAA